rnacentral:rRNA from 1 species
UACGGAGGGUGCGAGCGUUGUUCGGAAUCACUGGGCGUAAAGCGAGUGUAGGCGGCUUCUUAAGUUCGGUGUGAAAGCCCGGGGCUCAACCUCGGAAGUGCACCGGAUACUGGGAGGCUCGAGUACCGGAGAGGAGGGUGGAAUUCCUGGUGUAGCGGUGAAAUGCGUAGAUAUCAGGAGGAACACCGGUGGCGAAGGCGGCCCUCUGGACGGAUACUGACGCUGAGACGCGAAAGCGUGGGGAGCAAACAGG